GUACGAUAAUUACUGUCCUUCAUGAGGACAUUUAUUCAAGUGGAGAUGGAUUUACAUUUCCUUUACAAAUGGAGUACCUUGCUGACAUCACCAUAAACCGAGCCUUUGAUAACCGGGUUGGCAGCAGAUGUUCACGGGCAGGACUGGGGAAGUGGAGGUGGUAGGGUUCGGGUACUACGAGCUGCAUGAGGUCUACGGUGAAGUCGAGUUUAGAUGUCGACGAUCUUAUAAAGUUGCUCCAUAGUCCGGAUCUGGUGAAACUCAAGCUUAGUCGAUUGGAAAUUGAAGUCAGAGAUAAAGACCGCGAACUGAGCAAAUCACAAGCUUAGAUCAAAACGCUCCAUCUCUUUGAACGACUGAGAGAAAAGGCUAUUGAAGAGCUCAGUCAGUCACCUGAUGACAAGUUCUUGAAGCAGAGAGUUCUCUUGAAGAAGAGUUUUGGACUGCUUCCAACCCAAAAACCUCCCAGCAAGUUUUGAGUAUAAUUACAAUUGCUACUGUUAUCUUAAUGUAUGUUUAGGUACUUCUUAACUUAUGAAUCAUGGUAGGACACCACAAAAGGAGAUGACGUAGGGCUGAUACUAAAACUGAUGCAGCAAGUGCAUUUUUGGCUUCUCUCGAGGAACCCAAACUCACGAAUCUUGCAGAUGCAACAAAG